AUGGAAUUAUUUUGAAUCUGGCAACCAAUAAACUAUAUAUACAGAAAAUUUAGCGUCACUUUGCCAUUUUCUUUCAGUCUUCGGCAGUGCAAGGUAGACGUAUGUGACUCUUAGUCAGCCUGUCGAAUAUUUCAUUCCAUUAUCAUUUCAUUAAGUAACUACUCAUCUCAUCUGUGCUACCAUGUCUCAACAAUUUUGUUUAAAAUGGAACAACCAUAUGAACAAUAUGAUGGAUGUUUUCAAAAGCCUCCUCUCUACCGAAACAAUGGUAGAUGUGACUCUAGCUUGCGAUGGUCUGAGCUUAAAGGCGCACAAAAUGGUUUUGUCAGCUUGUAGUCCUUUCUUCCAAUCCUUGUUUUCAGAAAAUCCCUGCCAACACCCAAUUGUGAUAUUAAAAGAUAUGAAAUAUACAGAACUUAAAGCUAUUAUUGAGUUUAUGUAUCAUGGUGAAGUGAAUGUUGCUCAAGACCAAUUGUCUGCUCUCAUGAAAACAGCAGAGACACUUAGAGUGAAAGGUUUAGCUGAAGUGACAAAUGAGAAAGAUUCUCAAUCUAAUAACUCAGCUCAGGACGAACCUACUCACAGAUCUGUUCCUAGGACGGAUUCGCCCCCUCAGAGUAAAAGGAGAAGAGGUCGAACACGUAAACGGUCUCUUAGUGACUCUAAUCGUAGUGAUGAUGACUCUAACGAGCCUAAAAUCAAACAACCAAUGUCUCCGGACAUUGAAGAACUAUCUGGUGAUGUGACGAUGGACGUUUCUAGUUCUCAGUUUUCUAGUUUGCAAUCUCAGGUGCCUAUGCAAUCUACCCCCUCACAUAGUUCGAACACUUAUAAAACCUCAUCUGUGAUAUCUCAUGAUCCUCAUGUAGAAGAACCAACCUCUGCUGAUGAAAGUGAGUUUGGGGUUGAGCCUACUAAGCUCCUGGAACAAACAUUAACAACUGAAGAGCUCAAUGCUAGGAGAAGGUCUUCAAAUGUUGAAAUGCAGAGGAGGCCUAGAGGUAGCACAGAUCAUUCUACAAUAGUGCCAACAUCUAUGUCAGAUACAUCUAAUCAACAACCAGAUAGUCCAGUUGAUAUUAAACCAGAAGUAUUAGACUUAGAACCACCUAUGUCCACUCCAGGACCCUCUCAUAGUAAUGAUAAUGCUAUGAUGGUCUAUAUGGAUCAAUCGAACUCUUCUCAUCCAGGGCCGAGUGGUUACCAGGAUAAUUCAGCCCUGGUACCACAGGACUCUCAACAGCAAGGUAAUUAUCAUGCCGUAAUGACUUAUUGUUAAAUUCAUUUGGACUUAGGAGGAUGUUUUUAUGAAUUGAAUUAGGUUGCAUCAACAUCUUGACAAAACUUGUCUUCAUGCAGAGUUCAGCGUGUACUUUUCUUUAUCUUAUUAUUGGAAUAAUUUUUCCAUUAAAUUUAUUUGCUAAUAAACUAAUCAUUACUAUAGCUGCCUGAGAUUUACUCGCGAAAUCAAAAGUCGAUAAUCCACAAAGUAUGGCAUAUUUUUGUCAUUUAGAAUGUGUCUGAAACUGCUAAAUCUGAAUUCUUAUUCUCGUGAUUUUAGUGACAAUCAUAAGUUGUCAUAUUUACUUGAUUUAAAAGUUGCGCUUUAAGAUUUUGUAUUUACCUAAUUAAAAUGUACAUUGUGCUUUCUAUCCGCAUAGUUAAUAUCAGACAGCAGUUUGUUUUCUCCUGUUUUUAAAAUCAGAUUGUGGUUUUUUUCCUUUAAUUAGUCAAGAGUUUUUCGCUUAGUCACAAUGAGCUUGUCAUGCAUGUUUCUGUUACUAAGAAGUUGGCAGCUAUGCAUUACAUAAGUUUAUAAAAAAUUAAAGAAAUUUAAUUUAGAUGCAGUUAUUUUAAAAUCUAAAACAUCUUAAAAAUCUAAAAUAAAGAUAAUCUAAUUCAGAAAUACCUUGUCAAUGUGAAAUGAUUAAUUUCAUUUUGCAUUAUUUCAAGUGCAUAGAGACAAGUUUGUAAGGUAUUGAUAACUUAAAUAUAAGGCUUUUACCUACUUGGUCUGCUGUAAUUUUAAAUUUCAGCUUUUUAUAAAUAGUAAAAUACCUGAGUAUUUUACAUUAAGAGUUUUAAAUAUCAUCUCUGCCAACAACACCCUUACAUCUUAUUAAAAUUUUCAAUGUGAAUGUUUUAUAUUUCAAAACUAGAAAAAUAUAAUCCUUUAAAAAAAUAUUUUUAUGAAGUAAUCUUACUGAGAAAAAGCUCUAAAUUUUGUAAGAUGUUAAGUAUAUCAGUAUCAUUCAUAUUUUAUUUCAAGGAAAGUUAUUGCUCUGGUGGAUCAAAAGUUCUAACAUGCUAGUUUGAAUUGAGCAAUUAGGUCUAUAAAGGGUUAACAGCUUCUCUUUGAUUUUUAUAUUUUUAAGAAAAAUGCAAAUAGAAAUUAAGUACUUGCUCACAUUUUUAUGUAUUUUGAAGAAUUAAAUUUAUUGAGUGUCAAUUGGUUUACCUAAGUGUCACCUAAUGAAAAUGCAAUGAAGUUUAAUAUUCUUAAAAAUAAUUUUCUGGUACAUUAUUUCUUAAAAAAAAAUUUCUGCCUUUUAUUUGCUUAACUUAACUACUAAAUUUUGUGCUCUUAAAAAUAGAUCAAUAUGAAUACUUUCUUAUUAAUGUUGAAAUGUUCUUAAGUUUCUAUUUUGAAAGUUGGCAGGUCGAUAUAUUUCAUAAGGUUUUUUUUUUCUUUUCAUUAAUUGAUAACAAUAGUAGUAUGGGUUUGACCCACUACUAUUUUUAGGAGUUAACACAGCCUCCUAGUUCAUUUGAAUAUGUACUUGUUAUAGUUUUAUCAAGAUCACUGUUUUCUGUUAUGUGAAUGCUUAUUAAAUUUUUUUUUUUAUCUAAUAUAUAAGCUAUGCCUAUCCAAUGAAAUUAAGAAAAAGUUCUCAGAUUUAUCUUCAUUUCUGGAAAAUAAUUUUUAUUUUGUUGCAAAUUUUAGUAAAAAAUUCAUAGUUUUAGAAAAAAAUAACAUAAAUAGAAAAUGCAUAAUUAAUAUUUUAAAAUGUCAGUAUAUUCACCUUUAUUACUAAAUUAUAGUCAAUAUUGUUUAAUAAAGCAUAAAAUUUUUAAAAGAAGCUCCCAUUUUAAGAAUUGUAGAGGAUCUUUAAUUAAUCUAAUGAUGAUGAAAAAUAUUUUGCCUGAAUGUAAAGGUUAAAGAAAAUUAUGAACUUGAUAAGACUUAUUAAAUUUGUAGCCUAUUAAAAUAUUUUUGCUAUGUCUUAAAUUUUACUGUUAUUUUAAAAAUUAAGAUUAUGAUAUAUUAUGCUUAUGUUUAAACCUAUGUUUUGAAAGAUUACUGUGGUUUAUUGAUUCCUUAAGCUUAUAAGCUAUACCAAAUCUUUCAAAAUAUGGAUUUUAUGUGGUAAGUUAUGUUUAUUAGUAUAUAUAUAUUAGAGAGAAAAUCAUUUAACCUUUAUUCAAAAUUCAGCUCUGUGCAAUUUUUGGGGAACUAAGUUUACCCCUCUCCCUUGCAUAAAGAAAUCUAAUGUUACUGAAUCUCUCUAAUAUGUACCGUUUUUACUGAAUCUCCCUGAAAUGUACUGUUUGUAAAAAUGUGCUAAUGGUUAUUCGGAGUAAGAGCAUUUCAGCGACGAAACCGCUACUCGAUUAUCGCUAUUGUGACGUCUUGCCGCUCGCUCGUUUGCUCAAGAUUCGCGAUGGUCAUCUUUGAAGAAAGGAUUCCAUUAAAUGGUGAGUUAAGCUCUUUACUACUUCCUUUCAUUAUCUUGUAAAAAAUUAUGACAGUCAUGGGUAAGGUGACUUGGUAUAAGUGUACUAAUAUUUUUAUUCCCACAAAUAGGAUAAUUGUCAAUAUCAUUGUAAAAAUGGCUUAUUGUAAUGUAAAACUUGUAGAUUUGAAUGUGUUCUCCAAUUUGUAAAGCAUGCCCCAUGCUGCUGGGAAAAUAAAAUUUUUGUAAAAUAAAAUUUUUGUUAUUUUC
rnacentral:misc_RNA from 1 species